AGAUUGCAAGCCUGUGGAUCAGAUCAGCAAGUUCAGUCUUGUUAUUAGAAAUAGGGUGGAUGGUGGGGGAGUGGGGAGGCGUUGAGUAAACAGGAGCUAUGUAUUAGUUAGUUCAUGGUGAUUUUUACCUUUCAUUGGAUUCUUGAUUUUCUAGACCCUGGAGAUAGCUGAAAUUGCCUCAUCUUUUGUGAAUAAUUUUUGUUUUGGAGAGGAUUUAACAGUUUCAAGCAUCAGAGAAAAUGUCUAGUCCUCCAUUUUGUUGGCCAUGUGACUUGGAAGUCACUUUCUGGCUUCUUGUCAGUAUUUCUUUUGAUAAACCAAAUUUUCCAUAGAAACAGUGUUACAAUAAGGUAGGUAGUAUUGGUAUAAGAAUAUAAAUUAUUACAAUUAACUUUACCUGAGUUUUAUCUUGGGACUUGACAAACUUGAUCUUGUAUCCAAACAACAUGAAUGAUGAAACCAAAACCCAUGGAAAUUAAAUGAUUUGUCUAAGGCCUAUAUAGUAUGGUUAGGAUUUGAAUGUAGGGUUCUAGAUUCCAAGUCCAUUGUUGUUCUCCCUAUCACCCCAAACAGAUACUAUACCAACAGCAAAUGUAACUGGACACGAAAGGACUGAAGUCAAAGAGAAGGUUGCUUCUCUUCACAAUGGAAGCUUUCCACAUCACCCACAGGAGGUCAGACAGACAACAGGAGGUGGAAAUUGCCUCACAUUGGCAUAAAUGGAGGUCACCACAGCAGCCUUCCCUCGUGGGCAUACUCAAGUGAAGCAGAAGCUGGAAGAUUCCUUGAAUUGUUUGGAAAGUUUACCUGAAACCUACUUCACAGAAAUUCUGAUACACUGUGCCUAAUUCUACCUUCUAGAUGCAAGUAA
rnacentral:lncRNA from 1 species